AGUGAACGCUGGCGGUAGGCCUAACACAUGCAAGUCGAACGGCAGCACAGUAAGAGCUUGCUCUUACGGGUGGCGAGUGGCGGACGGGUGAGGAAUACAUCGGAAUCUACUUUUUCGAGGGGGAUAACGUAGGGAAACUUACGCUAAUACCGCAUACGACCUACGGGUGAAAGCCUGGGAUCUUCGGACCUUGCGCGAUUGAAUGAGCCGAUGUCGGUUUAGCUAGUUGGCGGGGUAAAGGCCCACCAAGGCGACGAUCCGUCGCUGGUCUGAGAGGAUGAUCAGCCACACUGGAACUGGGACACGGUCCAGACUCCUACGGGAGGCAGCAGUGGGGAAUAUUGGACAAUGGGCGCAAGCCUGAUCCAGCCAUACCACGUGGGUGAAGAAGGCCUUCGGGUUGUAAAGCCCUUUUGUUGGGAAAGAAAAGCAGCAGGUUAAUACCCCGCUGUUCUGACGGUACCCAAAGAAUAAGCACCGGCUAACUUCGUG
rnacentral:rRNA from 1 species